UACGUAGGGAGCAAGCGUUGUCCGGAAUCAUUGGGCGUAAAGCGCGCGUAGGCGGCCCUGUAAGUCCGUUGUGAAAGUCAAAGGCUCAACCGUGGAAGUGCCUUUGAUACUGCUGGUCUGGAGGGAGAUAGGGGCAGCUGGAACUUCCGGUGGAGCGGUGAAAUGCGUUGAUAUCGGAAGGAACUCCGGUGGCGAAAGCGAGCUGCUGGAUCUCUUCUGACGCUGAGGCGCGAAAGCCAGGGGAGCAAACGGG
rnacentral:rRNA from 1 species